GAUGAACGCUGGCGGCGUGCCUAACACAUGCAAGUCGAACGGAGAUUACGGACGGAAGUUUUCUGAUGGAAGACUGUAAUUCUUAGUGGCGGACGGGUGAGUAACGCGUGGGCAACCUGCCCUAUACAGGGGGAUAGCAGCUGGAAACGGCUGGUAAGACCGCAUAAGUCGGCGAGACCGCAUGGUUUUGCCGGGAAAUGAGCAAUCAGGUAUAGGAUGGGCCCGCGUCCGAUUAGCCAGUUGGCAGGGUAAAAGCCUACCAAAGCAACGAUCGGUAGCCGGACUGAGAGGUCGGACGGCCACAUUGGGACUGAGACACGGCCCAAACUCCUACGGGAGGCAGCAGUGGGGGAUAUUGCACAAUGGAGGAAACUCUGAUGCAGCGACGCCGCGUGAGUGAAGAAGUAUUUCGGUAUGUAAAGCUCUAUCAGCAGGGAAGAUGAUGACGGUACCUGACGAAGAAGCCCCGGCUAACUACGUG
rnacentral:rRNA from 1 species